rnacentral:rRNA from 1 species
GAUUAAGUUAUUAAGGGCGCACGGUGGAUGCCUUGGCACUAGAAGCCGAUGAAGGACGUUACUAACGACGAUAUGCUUUGGAGAGCUGUAAGUAAGCUGUGAUCCAGAGAUUUCCGAAUGGGGGAACCCAAUACGAGUUAUGUCGUAUUAUCGAUACGUAAAUACAUAGCGUAUCGAAGGUAGACGCGGAGAACUGAAACAUCUUAGUACUCGCAGGAAGAGAAAGAAAAA